CGGACGGGUGAGGAAUACAUCGGAAUCUACUCUGUCGUGGGGGAUAACGUAGGGAAACUUACGCUAAUACCGCAUACGACCUACGGGUGAAAGCAGGGGAUCUUCGGACCUUGCGCGAUUGAAUGAGCCGAUGUCGGAUUAGCUAGUUGGCGGGUAAGGCCCACCAAGGCGACGAUCCGUAGCUGGUCUGAGAGGAUGAUCAGCCACACUGGAACUGAGACACGGUCCAGACUCCUACGGGAGGCAGCAGAU
rnacentral:rRNA from 1 species